AACGAACGCUGGCGGCAUGCCUAACACAUGCAAGUCGAACGAGACCUUCGGGUCUAGUGGCGCACGGGUGCGUAACGCGUGGGAACCUGCCCUUAGGUUCGGAAUAACUCCCCGAAAGGGGUGCUAAUACCGGAUAAUGUCUUCGGACCAAAGAUUUAUCGCCUUUGGAUGGGCCCGCGUUGGAUUAGCUAGUUGGUAGGGUAAAAGCCUACCAAGGCGACGAUCCAUAGCUGGUCUGAGAGGAUGAUCAGCCACACUGGGACUGGGACACGGCCCAGACUCCUACGGGAGGCAGCAGUGGGGGAUAUUGGACAAUGGGCGAAAGCCUGAUCCAGCAAUGCCGCGUGAGUGAUGAAGGCCUUAGAGUUGUAAAGCACUUUUACCCGGGAUGAUAAUGACAGUACCGGAAGAAUAAGCACCGGCUAACUCCGUG
rnacentral:rRNA from 1 species